GAAAGGUAUUUUCUUCAAACAAUGUUGAAAUUUUUUUUAAAUACAGUAUUCCUGAAUACUGCCCUUAUAUACAUGUACAUAUGUACGUUGAUUUUUUUUAAGCCUAAAAAUGUAGCAAAAUGGAUACAUAGCGCUUCUACAUUCCAGAAUCAACGUUGACAUUAAGGUUCAGUUUAUAAAUAUCAAUAACUUUUUCAAUAUAAAAAUAAGCAGAUAUGGUGUAAUUGCCAAUGAGACAACUAUCCAGCAGAUUUCAAAUGACAAAGAUAUAAGCUAUCAAAGGUGACCAUACAGCCUUCAACAGUGAAAAAACCCACGCCGUAUAGUCAGCUAUAAAUUGCCCCAAAAUGAAAAAUUUGAAACAAUUCAAACAAGGAAAUUAAUUUACAAUUUACAAAAAAACCAAUAUGACAUGAACAAAUGACAGCCACUUAAUUUCAGGCUCCUGACUUGGAUCAGGCACAUAAAGUAUGUGGCUAGGUUAAACAUGUUUGUGAUUGCUCAACCCUUUCCCUUACCAUGCUUACCUAGGACAGUGAUGUUACAGCACAUCAUAAGAGCAAACUGUAAAAAUCAUUUGCAAAUAGCCUUACUCAAUAAAUCAGCACAAAGCACAAACAAACCAACUAACAUGUUCCUUUAUGGAAUUUUAUGAAACUUAGAAGAUUUUUUAUGAUCAAAAGACAGCUGAGCAAAAUUUUGAAAAUAAUUUUCCGUAUUUUACUGAUGAAUUGACUUUCUUUUUUUAGCUCACCUGGCCUGAAGUGCCAAGUGAGCUUUUCUCAUCACUUGGCGUCCGUCGUCCUUCGUUGUUGUCGUCGUCGUCCGCCGUUGUCGUUAGCUUUUUACAAAAAACUUCUCCUCUGAAACCACUGGGCCAAAUUUAACCAAACUUGGCCACAAUCAUCAUUAGGGUAUCUUGUUUAAAAAAUGUGUCCGAUGACCCCGCCAACCAACCAAGAUUGCCGCCAUGGCUAAAAAUAGAACAUAGGGGUAAAAUGUAGAUUUUGGCUUAUAUCUCUGAAACCAAAGCAUUCAGAGUAAAUCUGACAUAGGGUAAAACUGAUUAUCAGGUCAAGAUCUAUCUGCCUUGAAAUUUUCAGACAAAUCUGACAAUCUGUUGUUGGGUUGCUGCCCCUGAAUUGGUAAUUUUAAGGAAAUUUUGCAGUUUUUGGUUAUUAUCUUGAAUAUUAUUAUAGAUAGAGAUAAGCUGUAAACAGCAAUAAUGUUCAGCAAAGUAAGAUCUACAAAUAAGUCGACAUGACCAAAAUUGUCAGUCGACCCCUUUAGGAGUUAUUGCCCUUUAUAGUCAAUUUUUAACAAUUUUUCGUAAGUUUUGUAAUCUUUUACAAAAAUCUUCUUCUCUGAAACUACUGAGACAAAUUUAACCAUACUUGGCCAUAAUCAUUAUUAGGGUAUUUAGUUUAAAAAAUUUGUCCCAUGACCCCGCCUCCCAACCAUCAUGACUGACUUGGUUAAAAAUAGAACAUAAGGGUAAAAUGCAGUUUUUGGUUUAUAUAUCUGAAACUAAAGCAUUUAGAGCAAAUCUGACAGGUGGCAAAAAUGUUCAUCAGAUUUAGAUUUAUCUACCCUGAAAUUUUCAGACGAAUCCGACAACCCGUUGUUGGGUUGCUGCCCCUGAGUCAGUAAUUUUACAGAAAUUUUGCAGUUUUUAGCUCACUGGGCCUGAAGGGCCCUAUGUGAGCUUACGCCAUCACUUGGCGUCCGUUGUCGUCGUCGUCUGUUGUCGUCUGUCGUCUGUCGUCGUAAACUAUUUAAAAAAUCUUCACCUCUGAAACUACUGGGCCAAUUACCUUCAAACUUUAACUAAAUGUUCCUUAGGGUAUCUAGUUUAUAAACUGUAAGCAGCAAUAAUGUUCAGCAAAGUAAGAUCUACAAAAAAGUUAAUAUGACCAUAAUUGUCAAUUGACCCCUUAAGGAGUAAUUGCCCUUUAAAGACAAUUUUACACAAUUUGUUCAUCAAGUUUGCUAACAUUUAAAAAUCUUCUCCUCUGAAACUACUGGGCCAAUUACCUUCAAACUUUAACUAAAUGUUCCUUAGGGUAUCUUGUUUAUAAAUUGUAUCCGAAGUUUGUAUCCAUCGACAAACAUGGCCGCCAUGGCUAAAAAUAGAACAUAAGGGUCAAAUGCAGUUUUUAUACGACCGCAAAAAAAUUUUUGUGGUCGUAUAUUGGUAUGACGUUGGCGUCGUCGUCGUCGUCGUCUGGCGUCGUCCGGCGUCGUCCGAAGACACAUUGGUUUUCGCACUCUAACUUUAGUUUAAGUGAAUGGAUCUCUAUGAAAUUUUACCACAAGGUUCAAUACUACAAAAGGAAGGUUGGGAUUGAUUUUGGGGGUUAUGGUAUCAACAGUAAAGGAAUUAGGGGCCCAAAAGGGGCCAAAAGUAAGCAUUUUUGUAACUUCUAGACAUAACUUGUGUGUUAGUGUAUGGAUCUCUCUGACAUUGUACCACAAGAUUCCAUAUCACAAAAAGGAAUGCUGGGAUUGAUUUUGGGGGUAAUUGCCUCAAAAUUUUAGGAAUUAGGGGCCAAAAAAGGGGCAAAAAACAAGCAUUUUUCUAGUUUCAUGACAAUAACUUGUGUGUAAGUGUAUGGAUCUUUCUGAAAUUGUACUACAAGGUUCCAUAUCACAAAGGGAAAGCUGGAAUUGAGUUUGGGGGUAAUUGCCGAAACGUUUAGGAAUUGGGGGCCAAAAAGGGGCCAAAAAUAAGCAUUUUUCUAGUUUCCAGACAAUAACUUGUGUUCAAGUGUAUGGAUCUCUCUGAAAUUGUACUGCAAUGUACCAUACCACAAAGGAAAGGCUGGGAUUGAGUUUGGGGUAAUUGCCUCAAAAUUUUAGGAAUAAGGGGCCAAAAAGGGGCAAAAAACAAGCAUUUUUCUAGUUUCAGUACAAUAACUUGUAUGUAAGUGUAUGGAUCUUUAUGAAAUUGUACUACAAGGUUCCAUAUCACAAAGGGAAAGCUGGGUUUGAGUUUGGAGGUAAUUGCCCUAAAUGUUAAGGAAUUUGGGGCCAAAAAGGGGCCAAAAAACAAGCAUUUUUCUAGUUUCCAGACAAUAACUUGUGUUCAAGUGUAUGGAUCUCUCUGAAAUUGUACUGCAAUGUACCAUACCACAAUGGGAAGGCUGGGAUUGAUGAUGGGGGUAAUUGCCUCAAUAUUCUAGGAAUUUGGGGCCAAAAAGGGGCCAAAAAAACACAUUUUUCUAGUUUCCAGACAAUAACUUGUGUUCAAGUGUAUGGAUCUCUCUGAAAUUGUACUGCAAGGUACCAUACCACAAAGGGAAGGCUGGGAUUGAGUUUGGGGGUGAUGAAUCAUAAGGGGGUUCAAAAAAUUUGGAGGGGGGGGGGGGGUU